UUUGGAUAACUGUGGUAAUUCUAGAGCUAAUACAUGCAAUCAAGUCCCGACCAGUCUGACUGGGAAGGACGCUUUUAUUAGAUCAAGACCAAUCGCCCGAUUUCGGUCGGGCGUUUCCUUGGCGACUCUAGGUAACACAUCAGAUCGCAUGGUCUUGCACCGGCGACUUAUCUUUCAAAUGCCUGACUUAUCAACUGUCGAUGGUAGACUCUAUGUCUACCAUGGUUGUAACGGGUAACGGGGAAUCAGGGUUCGAUUCCGGAGAGGGAGCCUGAGAAACGGCUACCACAUCCAAGGAAGGCAGCAGGCACGCAAAUUACCCACUCCCGGCACGGGGAGGUAGUGACAAAAAAUAACGAUACGGGACUCAUAUGAGGCCCCGUAAUCGGAAUGAGUACACUUUAAAUCCUUUAACAAGGAUCCAUUGGAGGGCAAGUCUGGUGCCAGCAGCCGCGGUAAUUCCAGCUCCAAUAGCGUAUAUUAAAGUUGUUGCGGUUAAAAAGCUCGUAGUUGGUUCUGCGUGCUACGCUGUCGGUUCGCCGCCUGCCGGUGUAACUGGCAUGCCGUGGCAUGUCCUGUCGGUGGCGUUCGGGUGCUUCGUCUAGGUGUCUCCUCCGUUCCGAAAGGUUCGGUUGGUUGUACAACCGGGAGCCUCCCCGUUCGCCUACUCUAUCCUACCUAGGUGCUCUUUACCGAGUGUCGAGGUAGGCCGACACGUUUACUUUGAACAAAUUAGAGUGCUCAAAGCACGCUGAAAUUUCUGCCUGAAUAGUGGUGCAUGGAAUAAUAAAACAGGACCUCGGUUCUAUUUUGUUGGUUCUUAGGAACACGAGGUAAUGAUCAAUACGGACAGGCGGGGGCAUUCGUAUUGCGUCCUCCGAUGAGGCGGGGCCGGGAAACCAAAGCUUUUGGGUCCCGGGGGAAGUAUGGUUGCAAAGCUGAAACUUAAAGGAAUUGACGGAAGGGCACCACCAGGAGUGGAGCCUGCGGCUUAAUUUGACUCAACACGGGAAACCUCACCAGGCCAGGACAUUGGAAGGAUUGACAGAUUGAUAGCUCUUUCUUGAUUCAGUGGGUAGUGGUGCAUGGCCGUUCUUAGUUGGUGGAUCGAUUUGUCUGGUUAAUUCCGAUAACGAACGAGACUCUAGCUUAUUAACUAGGCGUUUUCCGGUGCCCCCGUCACCGGCGACACUCAUUCUUCUUAAGGGGACAAGCGGCUUUUAGCCGCACGAGAUUGAGCAAUAACAGGUCUGUGAUGCCCUUAGAUGUCCUGGGCCGCACGCGCGCUACACUGAAAGAAUCAGCGUGUGCUCCCCUGGCCGAAAGGUCCGGGUAAUCCGCUGAACCUCUUGCGUGCUAGGAAUUGGGGCUUGCAAUUGUUCCCCAUGAACGAGGAAUUCCCAGUAAGCGCGAGUCAUAAGCUCGCGUUGAUUACGUCCCUGCCCUUUGUACACACCGCCCGUCGCUACUACCGAUUGAAUGAUUUAGUGAGGUCUUCGGACUGGCGGUAAUCCCUACCGACUUGUCGAUAUCGAUGAACGCUGGAAAGAUGACCAAACUUGAUCAUUUAGAGGAAGUAAAAGUCGUAACAAGGUUUCC
rnacentral:rRNA from 1 species